rnacentral:lncRNA from 1 species
AAAAGGAUAAAAAGAGAAGAAAAGAAGAAUAGGGAUGAGAGGGAGAGACAAGAGGCGAACAGAGAGAGAGAGAGCAUUGGGACGAUUGGCAUGACGGAGGGAAGAAAAAAAAGAAAAGGAUUUGAGAGGGGACACUGCUAGUGGCCUAACCAUCGUGUGGCCGUCCCUCUCAUGCAAGUUCUUCUUCCGAACGUCUAAACGUGAGUUCUUUUUCUUCUUCUUUUGUGAUUCUGUAACACCCAAAAAAUUUCUUUUCAUUUUUAUUAUUAUCAAAUUAUCUUAUUUUAUUUUAAUUUGAUUUAUUCUAUAUAAAUAUAAUUUAGUAUUAAUAGAAUUUAAUUUAAUUUAAUUUAUUUUAAUAGAAAUAAUUAGAAUAAAGGGGUAAAAAUUAUUUAGAGAUUUAAUUAAAAAUAAUAUUGGGAAAAAUGGUGAAAAUUUGGGUUCUGGAGGUAUUUUUGAAAGAAAAAUCAGAAAUAAGGGGUCAAAAUGCAAUUUAAAAAAGUUGUGCUAUGGCAGCGGCCCGGUCAGCAGCCCCAGCCAAUCAGGACGAGCCAGGUGGCAGAGACGCUGACGCAAGAGGCCACGCGGGAGGGAGCCACGAGGGCGAUCCGCGUGCACGCGAUCGAACGGCUGUGAUACGUUUCUGCGUGCACGGACGGCCCAGAUUGCAUUGCACACGGACAGUCCAAAUUGAAUUGCGCAUGGACGGCCCAGAUUGAAUCGCGAUGAACGGCUCAGAUUCAUUCCCCAUUUAAUCGCGAUCGGACAGUCAUGAUCAAAAGCGAUGGACGGCUCCGAUCAAAAACAUAUGGGUAUAAAUAACCUCAUCCGCACCCAAACCCUAACCCUAGCCGCCAUAGCCCCUCGCCAAAGAAGACAGCCCAUGCACCGGGGAGCUGACUGCCGCCACCCGCCGCCGUACCGGAGUAAUUUCUGGCCACUAAAUGAGGUAAAAAUUCUAAUCUUUGCUCAGAAUUUGAUUCUAAACCCACCUAUGGCCAAAUCGGAGUGAAAGCACCGGCCAAUUGGCUAAAAAAUGCCGUCGAAGCUCAGCGGCGGUGCCGCAGGGUGUCUCAAUUUUUGCCUCCGAUGAGGCCCUUCCUGAUUUCCGUUGGAUGUGAUUUUUCCACCGUUGUGAUCACCGUUUCCUCCUCUACAUAUUGACUAGAGCAAAACACUCAACCGUGACGUGAGCCGAAGGAGCCGUCGCACCAGAGAGCCCCACCGUCGGUAAGUUUCGAUUUUUUGUAUUUUUUUGGCCCACCGAGGGCCCUAAGUGUGUUUUCUCACAGGAACCAAUGCAAGUUUGGCUUAAUUCGACCAAAAACAGCCAACCCGAGGCGGAUCACCACCGCGAGUGGCGGUGCCGUCGCCAGAGCACAGCAGAGCCGCGGUGCCGAAAUUUUAAAAUUGGCCGAGUAAACCAUGGGUCUGAUUUUUGGGUUAUUUGGGACAUGUGUAGGUACUGUAAGCGCAUUUCAAUUCCUAAAAAAAAUUCAGGGAACCUAGGGACCACCCGUAGCCGCAGUAAAAAUCUAGUUUUCGGCUUCAAAUCAAGUAAGGACCCCUCACUCUAUUUCAUAUCAUGGAAUUAAAGUUCGAAUAAAUGGUAAUACUGUAUUUUGUGCAAUUAAUAGAUAUGCAUAAUUAAUUAAGGUUGCUAAUGGAGCCUGAAAUCUAACAUUAUUCUCUAUCGAUUCCUACUUGAUUUAUUUUACAAUUUAAAUGCAUUAUGGUAUCUGGUCUAUCUAUUCUAUCGUUUUAAAUGCAUGUGUUAUUGUCUUACUUGACCACUGUAUGAUUUUGGGAUUUAAGAUAUGAUUGUAUUACCGGGUGCAUGUUUAUUGUUUAUGUGAUUAUGUUUAACUUGGUAACAGAAACUAAGAGGAAACAGAUAAGAUGACAGCCUCACUAGAUAUCCUGGGAGAUGGUAGACGGACCGGUUCAUAGGGAACCCUACUGUGAAUGUCGUCUCAUACCGGACGGGGUAUGGAGACUUGGUUAUUUGGCGCUCAUACCGGACGGGAUAUGGGGACGACCCUGUAAUUAAGACUGUUAAGAAGAAGGGUUCACGUGUAGCGGGGAUACCCCUAUGGAUCCCCAUGGGUAUUAGUGGGCUGGUGAAAAUGAGAAACGG